CUACGGGCGGCACCAGUGAGGAAUAUUGCACAAUGGGGGGAACCCUGAUGCAGCAACGCCGCGUGGAGGAUGACGCAUUUCGGUGUGUAAACUCCUUUUAUAUGUCAAGAAAAUGACGGUAGCAUAUGAAUAAGCGCCGGCUAACUCCGUGCCAGCAGCCGCGGUAAUACGGAGGGCGCAAGCGUUACUCGGAAUCACUGGGCGUAAAGGACGCGUAGGCGGGUUGAAAAGUCAGGUGUGAAAGCCUACAGCUUAACUGUAGAACUGCACUUGAAACUCUCAAUCUAGAGUAUGGGAGGGGCAGAUGGAAUUAGUGGUGUAGGGGUAAUAUCCGUAGAUAUCACUAGGAAUACCUAAAGCGAAGGCGAUCUGCUGGAACAUUACCGACGCUAGGGCGUGAAAGCGUGGGGAGCAAACAGGAUUAGAUACCCCGGUAGUC
rnacentral:rRNA from 1 species